rnacentral:misc_RNA from 1 species
AAUUCUCAACUCCGAUCGAUUUGUUUCGACUUCGGAGCUUGGACAUGGAGCGUGCUGGCGUCGGUCGGCUCCUCUUAAAUGCAUCAGCGGAAUCUAACGUUUUGGAUGUCAGUGUGAUAAUCAUGUUGCGCUGUCCUCCGAUCCGAAAAGCCCGCUCACAAUGGUCUUCGGACGACUUCGUAUCAA